AGUGACACUACUUUACUUCUAAAUACAUAGACUGAAGUAGAGGAGUUGAAGAAGAUUAAAGAAUUUGAAGAAAAGUGCUCAGCAAUUGAAAAUGAGAAUCAAGCUAGGAUUGAAGAGGCAGAAGAAGCACAACUAAAAGCAACACAACUUCAAGAGACUAUUGAAAGAUUGGAAGUGAGCUUGUCCAACCUCGAAACUGAAAAUCAAGUGCUAUGCCAGCAGGCAUUGGUAGAAUCCAAAAAUAAAGAUCUUUCCGAAGAGAUCAAAAUCCUAAAGGAUCAGAUAGCAAACCUAGAAUCAGGUAAUGAACGCCUGCCGGACCAGGCAGAAGCAGCUGCCAUGGAGCAGAAAGUAUGGUUGAUGAGAAUGAGGACUAUGAUGAUGAUGAGGAUGAAGAUGAAGAUGACACUAAGAACCAUAA